UGGGGAAUUUUGGACAAUGGGCGAAAGCCUGAUCCAGCCAUGCCGCGUGAGUGAAGAAGGCCUUCGGGUUGUAAAGCUCUUUUAGUCGGAAAGAAAGAGUUGCAAUGAAUAAUUGUGAUUUAUGACGGUACCGACAGAAAAAGCACCGGCUAACUACGUGCCAGCAGCCGCGGUAAUACGUAGGGUGCGAGCGUUAAUCGGAAUUACUGGGCGUAAAGGGUGCGCAGGCGGUCUUGCAAGUCAGAUGUGAAAGCCCCGGGCUUAACCUGGGAAUUGCGUUUGAAACUACAAGGCUAUAGUGCAGCAGAGGGGAGUGGAAUUCCAUGUGUAGCAGUGAAAUGCGUAGAGAUGUGGAAGAACACCGAUGGCGAAGGCAGCUCCCUGGGUUGACACUGACGCUCAUGCACGAAAGCGUGGGGAGCAAACA
rnacentral:rRNA from 1 species